rnacentral:rRNA from 1 species
GAGUUCUAUAACUCCCAAACCCAUGUGAACAUACCUAACGUUGCCUCGGCAGGUCGCACCUACCUUGUAGCACCCUACCCUGUAGGGCCUACCCGGGAGGUGCGGGUAAGCCUGCCGGCGGCCCACCAAACUCUGUUUGAUAUUGAAUUCUGAACCUAUAACUAAAUAAGUUAAAACUUUCAACAACGGAUCUCUUGGUUCUGGCAUCGAUGAAGAACGCAGCGAAAUGCGAUAAGUAAUGUGAAUUGCAGAAUUCAGUGAAUCAUCGAAUCUUUGAACGCAUAUUGCGCCCAUUAGUAUUCUAGUGGGCAGGACCGUUCGAGCGUCAUUUCAACCCUUAAGCCUUCGUUGCUUAGUGUUGGGAGCCUACGGCAACGUAGCUCCUCAAAGUUAGUGGCGGAGUUGGUUCACACUCUAGACGUAGUAAUUUUUUAUCUCGCCUAUUAGUUGGACUAAUCCCCUGCCGUAAAACCCCCAAUUUAUCAAGGUUGACCUCGAAUCGGUUCAGACAAACUCGCUAAAUUGAAGCAUCUUAGUCAGCGAAGGAAAAGAAACCAACAGGGAUUGCCCUAGUAACGGCGAGUGAAGCGGCAACAGCUCAAAUUUGAAAUCUGGCCCUCGG